GCAUAUCAAUAAGCGGAGGAAAAGAAACCAACAGGGAUUGCCUCAGUAACGGCGAGUGAAGCGGCAACAGCUCAAAUUUGAAAUCUGGCCUCGGCCCGAGUUGUAAUUUGUAGAGGAAGCUUUUGGUGCGGCACCGACCGAGUCCCCUGGAACGGGGCGCCAUAGAGGGUGAGAGCCCCGUAUGGUUGGACGCCUAUCCUCUGUAAAGCUCCUUCGACGAGUCGAGUAGUUUGGGAAUGCUGCUCAAAAUGGGAGGUAAAUUUCUUCUAAAGCUAAAUAUUGGCCAGAGACCGAUAGCGCACAAGUAGAGUGAUCGAAAGAUGAAAAGCACUUUGAAAAGAGGGUUAAAUAGCACGUGAAAUUGUUGAAAGGGAAGCGCUUGUGACCAGACUUGCGCCUCGUCGAUCAUCCGGGGUUCUCCCCGGUGCGCUCGGCGGGGCUCAGGCCAGCAUCGGUUCUCGCGGGGGGACAAAGGCUCCGGGAACGUAGCUCCUCCGGGAGUGUUAUAGCCCGGGGCGUAAUGCCCUCGCGGGGACCGAGGACCGCGCUUCGGCAAGGAUG
rnacentral:rRNA from 1 species